UACGGGGGGAGCAAGCGUUGUUCGGAUUUACUGGGCGUAAAGCGCGCGCAGGCGGUUUCUCAAGUCAGUGGUGAAAGCCCGGAGCUCAACUCCGGAACUGCCAUUGAAACUGUGAGACUUGAGGACGAGAGAGGUGAGUGGAAUUCCCAGUGUAGAGGUGAAAUUCGUAGAUAUUGGGAAGAACACCGGUGGCGAAGGCGGCUCACUGGCUCAUUUCUGACGCUCAGGCGCGACAGCGUGGGGAUCAAACAGG
rnacentral:rRNA from 1 species